UACGGAGGGUGCAAACGUUGCUCGGAAUCAUUGGGCGUAAGGCGCACGUAGGCGGACCGCUAAGUCGGAUGUGAAAGCCCUCGGCUUAACCGAGGAAGUGCAUUCGAAACUGACGGUCUUGAGUAUGGAAGAGGGUCGCGGAAUUCCCGGUGUAGAGGUGAAAUUCGUAGAUAUCGGGAGGAACACCAAUUGCGAAGGCAGCUCGCUGGGACGUUACUGACGCUGAGACGCGAAAGCGUGGGGAGCAAACAGG
rnacentral:rRNA from 1 species